CAUAUCAUGUUUCUAAGAGCUUUGGUCAAGUCUUUGGAUCCAGUCUCACACAAGGUUUAGUGUGUGGCCUUCAGUUGGAGCACUGUAACAGACUGUCUCAGAUGAGGCGAACUGCAUCACUCUGGGUGGCAUUCCAUUGUUCCUUUGCAUGAAUUCCCAGACUGUCACUAAAUGUUUUGCAGGGCAGUUGGUGCAAAGAUUCCAUACCUGGGGGAAGGGCGGGGCAGUGCUUGUUAGGUAGGAGCCAAAAAGAGAUAUGGUGUCAGUGGCUGUUACCCAGGACGGCUCUGUACUGCUAGGUAGCCACCUAGCUAGAGGUGGUUUGCUCUCACCUCCUAGAGCCAGACUGACAAAGUGCUUGCGCAACUUUGUGGUUGGAGCAAAGGCAGGUUCCAUAGGCUCUUCCUCACUACAAAAUCCUCAUUUGAUAAAACAAGAAGCAGGCAGUAGGUGUAUGGACACCAGCUUUCUUAAACAACUCCCACAGGACUCCUGAAAGUGUUUUAUCCUGGGCACAUUUUCAUGAAGACCUUCAGGUCACUUUCCAAGUGGCUUCUGGAUUAGGUGCCUGGAAAACUAAUAACCCUUAGCCCUGUAAAGCACAGCUGUGAUGUAGGCUGAGUUUAAUGAGACACAGAAAAGCCACAUCGUGGUUUAUUUGGGAAUGGAAGCAGCUUCUAGGGAGCGUACAUCCUGAAGCUAGCCGUCUGCCCACUGGGCUGCAGGCAGGACCAGUCAGGCAGCCUUCAUGUUGCUUCCAUCUAAUGAGCUUGUAAUUUAACAGUAAUGUGACAUCUGUAGACCCCAGGUUUUUCAACUAUUUUCCAAAGCAGAGCUAGUGGGGUUCACGAUCUUCCCUCCUUCCUCUGUAAAAAAGUCUAGGUUUGAAACCACGAGUAUUCCAGCUGCCGUGUUAAUUGGCUCAUUCUGAUUCCCGAGGCAGUCCAGCCAGCCGUGCAACAGACUGUUACCCUAGAGAAUCGGAGAGCUGUACAGCUGGUGGAGGCCAGUCCCAACACCUCAUUCCACAAGUCAGGGAAGCAGAGACUCUUAGUGUGCAAAAGGCUUAGUCAAGGACAUCCAGAUGGCUAUUUGAAAGAUGAAGAUCUCUGCCCUCCACACUGCAGGCCUGUCAUCCCAGACUAUCUCCCUCUGUGUCUCCCAGAUUCCCCUGGAAAGUUCACUCUUUCCCCAAGACUUUGACCCCACCAUUAUGGUCAAGGAGAGCUUUUGGGGGCCACAGGAAAUCACAGAGAACACUUUGAUAUCCAUGGAUAGCUUUACAGAUUCAGACUUAGUAACUUCAGGAAUUUGGGGUUAGAAAGGAGCAUCUUACAAGCUUUAUCAUCCCUCCCAAGUUUUAAUAGGAACCACAGUGUUUUCAAAGUCAAAUGCAAACAGUUCUGCCUCCCAGUUGUGUAGGCAUCUUUGGGGUGAAAACCCCUGUUCACUUGGAUGUAAUAAGCAUAUACAAGGUGACUUCAAAGUACUUGUCUGGGACACUGGCUAUGAUGGUAUGGCUGAAAUACUCUGGCCAGGGAUGCUUUCUAUUCUUCCUCAUGUAGGUUUUGGAGUUUCAGUCACUGAAGACCUGUUCGGUGACCACUGCUGCAUUUGGGUUCCAGGUAUUACUCUUUGGUCAUUUCCUCCGCCGUGGCUGUGUGUAAGGAGUUUCCUCCUGGAAAAGGGGGAUGAUGAGCCCUUGCUCCAUGCAUACUUCACCUUGAUUCACUGAAGGCUGGAAUGUGGGGCAUCAUUGUGGACAUUGGUUUACAACUCUGUACCAGGCUUUGUGCUUCUCCAUAAAAGGCUGCAUAUUUAUUUGAAUUGCUAUGAAGUAUUUUCAUGCAUGUGUAAUUUCUACUUUCUUUGGCCCUUUAGCACUUGUUAGGGGUGAAGAAACGAGGAAGGCGUGUCCCACAGGCCUGGUGGAUUGUUGAAGUGCACUUCCUUCUUGGUUGUAGCCAUAGUUACAGAGGAGGCAAAGAACAGCCAAAGGAUGAUGCUUGCUGACCCUCCUGCUCCGUGAUUUCUUCUUCUGGGAACUCUUCCCUCAUACUGCCCUCUCCUUCACCUACCUCUCUGGAUGUGACUCCUACUCCCAGCAUCUUCUACCUCCUAGCCUUGUAACCCUCAUGGAGAGUGGAUGCAGGGAGUAGGAAGACAGAAGGUGGGAUAUUUUUCAUGUCUGGAGUGAGUCUGGGGACUUCUUCACCCAAGUUACAUUCUCUGUGGGGAUCUGCAUCAUGAGCUGCUUCUGGGAAACACAACCAGGAUUUGAGUUUGGAUGGCUUUCUGCUGAGCCUCUCAUAUCCCCAUGGUCAGCAGUGGCAUCCCAGGAGAGUGACCGAAGACUCUUUACAUUGCUUCUUCCCAGACACCACUUCACUUACAUCCAUCAUUAUGCAUAUGAAGGCAGGAUAAGGAAGUCCACAAAUGCCUGAAUAAAAGAAUAACAGACAUGUGUAUAUGUGUUUGGGGAGCACUCACACAGUGAAGGUAAAUAGCCACUGCAGUCUUCUGGCCCUGGAGGCUCAGGAUGAUGUGAUGUAGGAUGCUCAGACCACACACACACACACACACACACACACACACACACACACACACAAGAGAGAGAGAGAGAGAGAGAGAGAGAGAGAGAGAGAGAGAGGAGACCCCUCCUCUGCCUUAUAAGGGAUCACAUCUGCACACUGAAGCCAUACCCUAAGGCCUGUACCUCAAAUCUAUUGGCAGAACAAGACAUCACUACAUGCAUAGGCACAAAUGCACAGUUGGUCUGGACAGGUUUCCAGUUUUAGUUAAUAAUGGACAGCAACUUGUAUGAACACAUUUGAGUUGUGUGAAAAUUAGCAUCUUUACAGACACCUCUCUCCCCUGAGCUGCAUUUACUGGAUCAGCAUUUUCUCCAUCAAGUUUUCCACUAAGCCUGUUGAUCUCAUGUCCUUCCCUCUUCCUCUGUCCCCAGAACAGUGGUCAUCUCCUUCCUCCUCCUUCAUUAGUCUCCAAGCCUCUUCGGGACAGGGGCUGUGUUUUCCAUGAAUAUUUGUUUGUUGAUGAUCAUGCCCAAAGGGGUUUAAACAUGGUAUCCUUAGAUGGUCCCAUUUCCUCCUCUCACAGACUGCAUCCAGGCCUCACAUGAGUUAGCAUUGGGUUGCCUUUCUUCAUGUUUCCCUCUGUCCAGUGUUGCUUCCAAACUGAGAUUCACAUCAUAAGAUGUGGGUCUUCCUACCUUUGCCCAUGCUAGGCCAUCGGCUUCAGUGUUCUUCUUUGAAAGCCUGUGUUUUCUACAGUACAUGGCCGAGGUUUCUUCACCUCCAAGAACCAUAAGUGAUGGUGUCCUGCUCUUUGGAAAAUGGUAGUCUGUUUUGCAUUUAUUUAUGGAGAUUUUGUUGCUAGCUACUACUAGGGUAAGGACAAGUCUGGAGCUGGCCCGUGUGACUACUUUUCUUGCUCCUGAGACUCAGAAUAGCUAGUGAUGAGACUAGAAGACACACUGACUAAAACUAUUUCUGAGUUCUCUUUAAGGAUUAAAUAAAAAUUUCAAAAGUUUUUUUCACCUUUAUGUCAUAAUAAAAAAGGCUAUCUGACUUCUUU